GACGUAGGGCGCGAGCGUUGUCCGGAUUUAUUGGGCGUAAAGAGCUCGUAGGCGGCUUGUCGCGUCGACUGUGAAAACCCAUGGCUCAACCAUGGGCUUGCAGUCGAUACGGGCGGGCUAGAGUUCGGUAGGGGAGACUGGAAUUCCUGGUGUAGCGGUGAAAUGCGCAGAUAUCAGGAGGAACACCGGUGGCGAAGGCGGCUCGCUGGACCGGUUCUGACGCUGAUGCGCGAAAGCGUGGGGAGCAAACGGG
rnacentral:rRNA from 1 species